CAGCGCAUCCAGCAGCUAACACCGCGGACCUACGGUCCCCUCGGGACUGGGCCUGACACCCCUCGUUCCGCGCGGGCCCUGCCAGCCCCCUAACGGGCGUUCUUCAACCCCAGCCCCCCCGGCGCUCCCCGCACCCCUCAGCAGCGCCGCAGCGGGGCAGCAGCCGCCGGAUCCCCGCACCGCGCAGGCGCCAGCUCCGCGGGACAAGCCCGGGCCCGUCCCCCCUCGCCUCAGGGGGCUCUCCCGGGCGGCGGCUCGGGCUGCCCGCUGCACGGCGGGGGGAACGGCCGCGGCGGCACCCGCCCCACCGCCCCGACCAGGCGCAGCCCGCACCCCGGGGGUCCGGCCCGCGCCCGUACCUUGAUCCCCGCCUCGCUGCUCCCGUCUAUCAGAGGAAGGGCCCGAGGUGGUGUCGCCCGCCCCGAGCAGCGCGGACCGGCGCGGAUCAGCGCGGCGCGGCACCCACCCGCCGGCACGACCCCCAGCACGCCAUGCAGCCGCGCACGGCGCCCACCGCUCCGCUGUGCUGCGCUGCGCUCCGCCGGGCAGGGGGCGGGGCUGCGCGCUGACGGACUGACACGCAGCCUAAUCACGGAGCGCGCACGGCUGGAGGGGCGGGGCGCCUCUUAAGCCGAGCGGGGCGGGCGCCGCGGCGCCCUCUGGUGGUGCACCACAAGAUGGCGGGCGGGGCCUCACAAGAUGGAGGGCGGGGCCUCCUCAGGUGCCACCGCCCCCGCUCCCCGCCGAGGGCGGCUGGGCAGCGCGUGGAGAUCCGGCCUCGCCGCGGUUCCGUGCUGUGGCCACGGAGGUGCGUGCCGUGUGCCCCUAGCCGCGGGUGUUGUCUGAGAAUCGUCUUGAAUCCAGAGGCCUGUAGAUGGCAAUCUUGCGCUGCAUUGGAGAAGCAAUCAUUGGAGAAGCAAUUCCCAACAUCCUGCACAGCUCCUGAUGUUGGUAGCUACAGAUGCAUUGAAGUAAUAAUACAGGAGCCCAAAGAAAGAACAAAGCAGAACUAGGGUGUUAAAGGUCUUGUACCAGAGGAAUGCAGUGAGCUCACAGUCCAGAUGUCUAUGAGUGCUUGGUUUUACAGAGGUACGUAACCUUUUCUGGACCAGGACAGAUUUUUCAACCUUUGUGGUGGAAUAUGUAUUUGAUGAUGCUUGAAGUUUAACAAUUCAUUUAGGUUUUGCAAAAUUUUAAAGAAAGCACAGUGGAAGAAAGAGGAAUGCAAUUUCACAUAUUUCAUUAAAAAAAAGUGAAAGGGGAU
rnacentral:lncRNA from 1 species